AUCAAAAGAAAUAAAUAAAUGUUUAUACCACUAUGGUAAAUUAGUGUAGACAUUAAGGUUUAGAGUUAAGGGGUGGGGUUUAGGAUUUAGAGUUUAAGGUUUAGAGUUUAGGGUUUAGGGUUUAGAGUUUAGGUUUUAGGGUUUAGAGUUGGGAAUUGGGAUUUUGGGGAUAAGAUUUCAAAUUUUGAAAAAUAAAUAAAAUUUAAAUUUUUCAAAAAAUAAAAUGUUAUUUUGGUCAUUUUAGUUUUUGAGUGCUAUUUUUGUGAUAUAAACUUAAAAAUGUGCUAUUUUGGAGAUUUGCCCU
rnacentral:lncRNA from 1 species